rnacentral:SRP_RNA from 1 species
GCCAGGUAUGGUGGCGCGCGCCUGUAGUCCCAGCUACUCAGGAGGCUGAGGUGGGAGAAUCGCUCGCACCCAGGAUGAGGAGGUGGCAGUGAGCCAAGAUCACACCACUGCACUCCAGCCUGGGUGACAGAGUGAGACUCCGUCUCAA